rnacentral:rRNA from 1 species
AUUGAACGCUGGCGGCAGGCCUAACACAUGCAAGUCGAACGAGUGGCGGACGGGUGAGUAAUGUCUGGGAAACUGCCUGAUGGCGGGGGAUAACUACUGGAAACGGUAGCUAAUACCGCAUACAAUCAGAUGUGCCCAGAUGGGAUUAGCUUGUUUGUGGGGUAAAGGCUCACCAAGGCGACGAUCCCUAGCUGGUCUGAGAGGAUUACCAGCCACACUGUAACAGAGACACGGUCCAUACUCCUACGGGAGGCAGCAGUGGGGACUAUUGCACAAUGGGCGCGAGCCUGAUGCAGCCAUGCCGCGUGUAUGAAGAAGGCCUUCGGGUUGUAAAGUACUUUCAGCGGUGAGGCGUUACCCGCAGAAGAAGCACCGGCUAACUCCGUGCCAGCAGCCGCGGUAAUAC